UCUGCAUCAACAACUUCUGGAAGCAGAGAGUCCCUGAACCUUGGAGCAAGGAGAGAUGUAACAUACAGCCUCGGAGGGGUUGGAGGAGAGGUCCAUGGAGAUCACCUGGCUCAGCCUUCUCGUUUUCCAGAUGAUUUUUUUUAGUCCAAAGAGACUAAAUGACUUGACUAAGGCCACACAGCAUGUCAGCGGGCCAGCUAGGACUCCACCCACAGCCCCUGAGUCUGGGGAUCCCUGUGCUCUUGGCUCUGAGCAAGGCUGCCUCACUUCAUUUUAGUUUAGUCUGUGUGACUUGAGCACAAGUUCUGCACACAAAACUGUGCAAGGCCACUAAUAGCACUCACAGAGCAGUGCUAUCCCUUCCUUCCUUUGAAAUGGUGGAGGUGGAGACAGUACAUACAAGAGUUACUCAAGACAAGGAUGAGGGUGCAGGGAGGAAGCCGAGCCCUUCCAUGCCACCUCUGAGACAGCUGGAGGGCAUAGCCGCUCCAUGGCUGCAGCCCGGUUUAGAAUGUGCCAGGGGUGGGGUCAGGCACCGCUUUCUUAAAUGAUCUUUCCUCUGUUGUCUCAAGACAUUUUCCAAGUACCAGACAGGACAAAAUGGCUUAGAUGUAAGCCUCUCUACUUUGCCGCAGGCCCCAGUGCUCUCUGUUGUCCCACCUAGGCUCCUGCUGCCUGCCCUGAUGUCUGCAGAUUCACUUGGUCAAGAGGAGUUCCUUCUAUGCCUGCUGUGUUUUUCAGCCAUAGCACAGAACUGUUUUAUGGGGGGAGCAUGCUCAUGCGCUAAAUCAGUGGUCUCUCACUCAGGGAGGAAGAGAGGCCAACAUUUGCUGAGGGCUUACUGUGCCCUGGGUUCUCAGCUGUCCCCACGAGGGGGUGCAAUGCCCUUGGUUUUAAAGAGAUGAAAAUAUCAAGGCUCCAAGAGGUAAAAAACUUGCCCCAGGCCACCUAGAUGUGGCUGGUGAAGCUAUGUUUGAACCCACCGCUGACUAACUCCAAAAUUCAUAUUCUUUUCUCUUCUCUCGGCUGUCUUCCAAGUAUCCAGAAUGGACUGUCUGGAAAGCGUUCUGUUAGUACUUCUUGACUGUGGGACUACAGGUCUUUGAGUUUCUCCUAAUAAAGUGAUUUCUGAUGAAAAUCUGA